UUGGUGGUCGUAGUCCUGUCGGCUUCGACACUGGCCCUUCCUGAGGCAAGUCGUCGACACUUGUUCGGCCUGUACGGAGGUUACGGAGGAUAUGGCCUUGGAGGAUUGGGCUACGGAGGCUACGGAGGCUAUGGAGGCUAUGGACACUUCCCAUACAAUUACUACUACGGCUAGAUUAACCAGACAACCAUAGCAGUGGGUGUCUCACGUAUUCAACCUCCAUAUAAAGCACUGAGCUUGAAAUCGGUGACUCAGUGCUCCCCAACUUCGAAAUCAUUACCAAGGAAGUACGAAGAUUUUUUUAAGCAUCUUGAAUACUGUAGAUCUUUGGCAACAAAUCUAAUAAAUAUUUGGCUUCA